rnacentral:lncRNA from 1 species
UCUUGAAAUAAGUAUAAAAGAUCUCUAUAUAUAUAUUCAUCCAUUUGGGAAAGUAGAAAGAGCAAGGUACAAGAUCCGAAAAUUAUACUACGCGAGAGUAGCGACUUUUGAAGAAAAAAAAAAGCAUUUUUAGGUUCCACCUAUUUUGGUUAGCAUGCUGAUUUUUUUUUAAAGCAAAACUCUGGCUAGAAGUUGAACCAAAACUACCUUAUGACAUCACUCUAAUUAAGCACCAAUACAUGUAUGACGAUUAACGUGUUAAGCAUUUAACCACUCAAUCAUUUAGUUGGCAUUUUACAUUCCUUUGGAACAAAAGAAUGCAAAAUAUAGAAUUGGGAAAAAAAGCAGAAGAGCAAGAGUAUCCCAACCGUUUGGCAAAUAGGCUCCGCAUUCAUGUAUUUGCAAAAAAAAAAAUCUAAAAAACACAUAUCCAACGGUUUGACAAUUAGGCUUUGCAAUUUUGUUAACUUGGCAAAUAGAGGGAAAGAACUCCCAUAUAUGACAAGCCCCUCCGUGCUUGGCAUCGUGUCUCUCGCGCGAAAUCCAUGGCCCCCGUGCGUGGUCGUGCGACUACUCCCUCCUCGCGCC